rnacentral:rRNA from 1 species
ACUAAUUCUAGCCCUAUAUUCAACCAAAAUAACUAUAAUUAUCUAUUAAUCAAACCAUUUAGCAUCAUAAAAGUAUUGGAGAAAGAAAUUAUUACAUAGGAGCAAUAGAGCAAGUACCGUAAGGGAAAGAUGAAAGAAUAAUUUAAAGUAAAAAUAAGCAAAGAUUAAACCUUGUACCUUUUGCAUAAUGAAUUAACUAGAAAAAAAUUAGCUAAAAGAACUGAAGCUAAACACCCCGAAACCAAACGAGCUACCUAAGAACAAUUUCAUGAAUAAACCCGUCUAUGUAGCAAAAUAGUGGGAAGAUUUUUAGGUAGAGGUGAAAAGCCUAACGAGCUUGGUGAUAGCUGGUUACCCAAAAAAUGAAUUUAAGUUCAACUUUAAAUUUACUCCAAGACCAAUAUCCUAAUGUAAAUUUAAACAUAGCCAAAAGAGGGACAGCUCUUUAGGAAAGGAAAAAACCUUUAAUAGUGAAUAAAUACUGCAAAAAAAUUAAACCAUUGUAGGCCUAAAAGCAGCCAUCAAUAAAGAAAGCGUUCAAGCUCAACAUUAAUUUACUAACAAUUUAACAAUUUAUAAUAAAUUCCUAAAAUUAAAAUUGGGUUAAUCUAUUAAUAUAUAGAUGAAAUACUGUUAAUAUGAGUAACAAGAAUAUCAAUUCUCCAAGCACAAGUGUAUAACAACUCGGAUGCCCAUUGUUAAUUAUCAAACUAUAGAUAAAAAUCACAAAUAAAUCUAUCUAAAACUAACUUGUUAAUCCAACACAGGAGUGCUAUAAGGAAAGAUUAAAAGAAAUAAAAGGAACUCGGCAAACCAGAAUCCCGCCUGUUUACCAAAAACAUCACCUCUAGCAUCAUAAGUAUUAGAGGCAUUGCCUGCCCAGUGACUUAAGUUCAACGGCCGCGGUAUCCUGACCGUGCAAAGGUAGCAUAAUCACUUGUUCCUUAAUUAGGGACUAGAAUGAAUGGCUAAACGAGGAUUCAACUGUCUCUUAUUUCUAAUCAGUGAAAUUGACCUCUCAGUGAAGAGGCUGAGAUAAUAAAAUAAGACGAGAAGACCCUAUGGAGCUUUAAUCAAUUAGUUUAAUCAUAAAACCAAUUAACCUAAUGGAACAUCUACAAUGAUAUAAACUUAAGAUUUCGGUUGGGGUGACCUCGGAGAAAAAAAAAUCCUCCGAAUGAUUAUAACAUAGACAUACAAGUCAAAGUAAAUAAUUAUCUUAUUGACCCAAAACUUUUUGAUCAACGGACCAAGUUACCCUAGGGAUAACAGCGCAAUCCUAUUUAAGAGUUCAUAUCGACAAUUAGGGUUUACGACCUCGAUGUUGGAUCAGGACAUCCCAAUGGUGCAGAAGCUAUUAAUGGUUCGUUUGUUCAACGAUUAAAGUCCUACGUGAUCUGAGUUCAGACCGGAGUAAUCCAGGUCGGUUUCUAUCUAUUAACAAUUUCUCCCAGUACGAAAGGACAAGAGAAAUGGAGCCACCUCGCAAACAAGCGCUCCCAACUUAAUUUAUGAAAAAAUCUAAAUAAAAUAAGUAUGUUAACUACAGGCCUAGACAAGGCA